GCAUUGGUGGUUCAGUGGUAGAAUUCUUGCCUGCCACGCGGGAUGGAAGCUUGGGGUCAGAGCCCGGGAGGCCCGGGUUCGAUUCCCGGCCAAUGCA
rnacentral:tRNA from 1 species